AUUGAACGCUGGCGGCAGGCCUAAUACAUGCAAGUCGAACGGUAACAGAAAGCAGCUUGCUGCUUUGCUGACGAGUGGCGGACGGGUGAGUAAUGUCUUGGAAACUGCCUGAUGGAGGGGGAUAACUACUGGAAACGGUAGCUAAUACCGCAUAACGUCGCAAGACCAAAGAGGGGGACCUUCGGGCCUCUUGCCAUCGGAUGUGCCCAGAUGGGAUUAUCUAGUAGGUGGGGUAACGGCUCACCUAGGCGACGAUCCCUACCUGGUCUGAGAGGAUGACCAGCCACACGGGAACUGAGACACGGUCCAGACUCCUACGGGAGGCAGCAGUGGGGAAUAUUGCACAAUGGGCGCAAGCCUGAUGCAGCAAUGCCGCGUGUAUGAAGAAGGCCUUCGGGUUGUAAAGUACUUUCAGCGGGGAGGAAGGGAGUAAAGUUAAUACCUUUGCUCAUUGACGUUACCCGCAGAAGAAGCACCGGCUAACUCCGUG
rnacentral:rRNA from 1 species